rnacentral:rRNA from 1 species
CAACAGUUGGAAACGACUGCUAAUACCGCAUAAGCCCACGGGUCGGCAUCGACCAGAGGGAAAAGGAGCAAUCCGCUGUGAGAUGGCCUCGCGUCCGAUUAGCUAGUUGGUGAGGUAACGGCCCACCAAGGCGACGAUCGGUAGCCGGACUGAGAGGUUGAACGGCCACAUUGGGACUGAGACACGGCCCAGACUCCUACGGGAGGCAGCAGUGGGGAAUAUUGCACAAUGGGGGAAACCCUGAUGCAGCGACGCCGCGUGGAGGAAGAAGGUCUUCGGAUUGUAAACUCCUGUUGUUGGGGAAGAUAAUGACGGUACCCAACAAGGAAGUGACGGCUAACUACGUGCCAGCAGCCGCGGUAAAACGUAGGUCACAAGCGUUGUCCGGAAUUACUGGGUGUAAAGGGAGCGCAGGCGGGAAGACAAGUUGGAAGUGAAAUCUAUGGGCUCAACCCAUAAACUGCUUUCAAAACUGUUUUUCUUGAGUAGUGCAGAGGUAGGCGGAAUUCCCGGUGUAGCGGUGGAAUGCGUAGAUAUCGGGAGGAACACCAGUGGCGAAGGCGGCCUACUGGGCACCAACUGACGCUGAGGCUCGAAAGUGUGGGUAGCAAACAGGAUUAGAUACCCUGGUAGUCCACACCGU